rnacentral:tRNA from 1 species
GGGGGUGGAUUGGGCCUGGUGGCUCGCCUGGACUUCAAAUCCAGUUGUGCGGCAGCGAUCCUGUCGCAGGUGGGUUCGAUUCCCACACACUCCCGCCA